CCUACGGGAGGCAGCAGUGGGGAAUCUUGCGCAAUGGGCGAAAGCCUGACGCAGCCAUGCCGCGUGAAUGAUGAAGGUCUUAGGAUUGUAAAAUUCUUUCAGUAGGGACGAUAAUGACGGUACCUACAGAAGAAGCCCCGGCUAACUUCGUGCCAGCAGCCGCGGUAAUACGGAGGGGGCUAGCGUUGCUCGGAAUUACUGGGCGUAAAGGGAGCGUAGGCGGACAUUUAAGUCAGGGGUGAAAUCCCGGGGCUCAACCUCGGAAUUGCCUUUGAUACUGGGUGUCUUGAGUGUGAGAGAGGUAUGUGGAACUCCGAGUGUAGAGGUGAAAUUCGUAGAUAUUCGGAAGAACACCAGUGGCGAAGGCGACAUACUGGCUCAUUACUGACGCUGAGGCUCGAAAGCGUGGGGAGCAAACAGGAUUAGAUACCCUGGUAGUCCACGCGUAACGAUGAUGNUAGUUGUCGGGUAGUGCAUGCAUUUCGGUUGUACGCAGCUACGACAUUAAGUACAAUCCGCCGUCGGGGAGGUACGGUCGGCGAAGAAUUAAAACUUAACAAAUAGAAGUUAGACGGCGUGAGACGUGCCGACGGACGACCGACCGAGGGGAGGUUAGG
rnacentral:rRNA from 1 species